rnacentral:rRNA from 1 species
UACGUAGGAGACGAGCGUUGUCCGGAAUUACUGGGCGUAAAGCGCGUGUAGGCGGGUCCGCGAGUCUGCUGUGAAAGCUCCUGGCUUAACCGGGAGUGGUCGGUGGAAACUGCGAACCUGGAGGACGGUAGAGGUAGGUAGAAUUCCCGGUGUAGUGGUGAAAUGCGUAGAGAUCGGGAGGAAUACCUGUGGCGAAGGCGGCCUACUGGGCCGGACCUGACGCUGAGACGCGAAGGCGUGGGGAGCGAACGGG